AAACUCGUGAAGGAAUGUGAGAAGGAAGCCCGAGUGCAAAACGACGAGUCUAUGAACAAGAAUGUCAUAGAAGGCCGAGUCUCAGGGGUGAGUUAGCCAAUGAUAACGAAACCCACAGGUUCGAGAGGUACGGUAAAUGGCAAGGCAGUGUCGUGACAGUUUACGUU
rfam:Methanotrophic endosymbiont of Bathymodiolus azoricus (Menez Gwen) isolate BAZMOX genome assembly, contig: contig52771